UACGUAGGGUGCGAGCGUUAAUCGGAAUUACUGGGCGUAAAGCGUGCGUAGGCGGUUCGCUGUGUCCGAUGUGAAAGCCCCGGGCUUAACCUGGGAAUGGCAUUGGAAACUGGCGGGCUUGAGUGCGGCAGAGGGGGGUGGAAUUCCGCGUGUAGAGGUGAAAUUCGUAGAUAUUCGCAAGAACACCAGUGGCGAAGGCGGCUCACUGGCCCGGUACUGACGCUGAGGUGCGAAAGCGUGGGGAGCAAACAGG
rnacentral:rRNA from 1 species